UACACACCGCCCGUCACACCAUGGGAGCCGGUAACGCCCGAAGUCAGUGACCCAACCGAGAGGAGGGAGCUGCCGAAGGCGGGACAGGUAACUGGGGUGAAGUCGUAACAAGGUAGC
rnacentral:rRNA from 1 species